rnacentral:rRNA from 1 species
UACGUAGGGUCCAAGCGUUGUCCGGAAUUACUGGGUAUAAAGGGUGCGCAGGCGGGUCUGUGCGUCGAGGGUUAAAUACCCGAGCUUAACUCGGGAAAUGCCCUCGAUACGGCGGGUCUUGAGUACGAGAGAGGAUAGUAGAAUUCCUGGUGUAGCGGUGAAAUGCGUAGAUAUCAGGAGGAAUACCAGUGGCGAAGGCGGCUAUCUGGCUCGUAACUGACGCUUAGGCACGAAAGCGUGGGGAUCAAACAGGAUUAGAUACC